GCCAGACUCCUACGGGAGGCAGCAGUGAGGAAUAUUGGUCAAUGGGCGAGAGCCUGAACCAGCCAAGUCGCGUGAGGGAAGACGGUCCUAUGGAUUGUAAACCUCUUUUGCCGGGGAGCAAAAGGCGGUACGUGUACCGCAUCGAGAGUACCCGGAGAAAAAGCAUCGGCUAACUCCGUGCCAGCAGCCGCGGUAAUACGGAGGAUGCGAGCGUUAUCCGGAUUUAUUGGGUUUAAAGGGUGCGUAGGCGGAAUGCCAAGUCAGGGGUAAAAUCGCGGGGCUCAACCUCGCUCCGCCGUUGAAACUGGCGUUCUUGAGUGGGCGAGAAGUAUGCGGAAUGCGUGGUGUAGCGGUGAAAUGCAUAGAUAUCACGCAGAACUCCGAUUGCGAAGGCAGCAUACCGGCGCCCAACUGACGCUGAAGCACGAAAGCGUGGGUAUCGAACAGGAUUAGAUACCCCAGUAGC
rnacentral:rRNA from 1 species